rnacentral:tRNA from 1 species
GGAGAGAUGCCCGAGAGGCCGAAGGGGACGGUUUGCUAAACCGUUGUACCAUUAGGUACCAAGGGUUCGAAUCCCUUUCUCUCCG